rnacentral:rRNA from 1 species
AGUACACAUAGAUUUGAAUCUGGCUCCUUCGGGGUCCGCAUUGUAAUUUGCAGAGGAUGCUUCGGGUGCGGCCCCUGUCUAAGUGCCCUGGAACGGGCCGUCAGAGAGGGAGAGAAUCCCGUCUGGGAUGGGGUGUCCGCGCCCGUGUGAAGCUCCUUCGACGAGUCGAGUUGUUUGGGAAUGCAGCUCUAAAUGGGUGGUAAAUUUCAUCUAAAGCUAAAUACUGGCCGGAGACCGAUAACAAACAAGA